CAGCCCUUGACAUCCCGGUCGCGGUUUCCAGAGAUGGAUUCCUUCAGUUCGGCUGGACCGGUGACAGGUGCUGCAUGGCUGUCGUCAGCUCGUGUCGUGAGAUGUUGGGUUAAGUCCCGCAACGGGCGCAACCCUCGCCCUUAGUUGCCAUCAUUAAGUUGGGCACUCUAAGGGGACUGCCGGUGAUAAGCCGAGAGGAAGGUGGGGAUGACGUCAAGUCCUCAUGGCCCUUACGGGCUGGGCUACACACGUGCUACAAUGGUGGUGACAGUGGGCAGCGAGACCGCGAGGUCGAGCUAAUCUCCAAAAGCCAUCUCAGUUCGGAUUGUUCUCUGCAACUCGAGAGCAUGAAGUUGGAAUCGCUAGUAAUCGCGGAUCAGCAUGCCGCGGUGAAUACGUUCCC
rnacentral:rRNA from 1 species